AACAGGAUUAGAUACCCUGGUAGUCCACGCCGUAAACGAUGUCGACUUGGAGGUUGUGCCCUUGAGGCGUGGCUUCCGGAGCUAACGCGUUAAGUCGACCGCCUGGGGAGUACGGCCGCAAGGUUAAAACUCAAAUGAAUUGACGGGGGCCCGCACAAGCGGUGGAGCAUGUGGUUUAAUUCGACGCAACGCGAAGAACCUUACCUGGUCUUGACAUCCACAGAACUUUCCAGAGAUGGAUUGGUGCCUUCGGGAACUGUGAGACAGGUGCUGCAUGGCUGUCGUCAGCUCGUGUUGUGAAAUGUUGGGUUAAGUCCCGCAACGAGCGCAACCCUUAUCCUUUGUUGCCAGCGGUCCGGCCGGGAACUCAAAGGAGACUGCCAGUGAUAAACUGGAGGAAGGUGGGGAUGACGUCAAGUCAUCAUGGCCCUUACGACCAGGGCUACGCACGUGCUACAAUGGCGCAUACAAAGAGAAGCGACCUCGCGAGAGCAAGCGGACCUCAUAAAGUGCGUCGUAGUCCGGAUUGGAGUCUGCAACUCGACUCCAUGAAGUCGGAAUCGCUAGUAAUCGUGGAUCAGAAUGCCACGGUGAAUACGUUCCCGGGCCUUGUACACACCGCCCGUCACACCAUGGGAGUGGGUUGCAAAAGAAGUAGGUAGCUUAACCUUCGGGAGGGCGCUUACCACUUUGUGAUUCAUGACUGGGGUGAAGUCGUAACAAGGUAACC
rnacentral:rRNA from 1 species